GACCCCGUAGCUCAGAUGGUCAGAGCGCCCGGUUGUCAGCCGGGAGGUCGCCGGUUCAAGUCCGGUCGGGGCCG
rnacentral:tRNA from 1 species